CGGCGAGUGAAGCGGCAACAGCUCAAAUUUGAAAUCUGGCCCCAGGCCCGAGUUGUAAUUUGCAGAGGAUGCUUUUGGCGCGGUGCCUUCCGAGUUCCCUGGAACGGGACGCCAUAGAGGGUGAGAGCCCCGUACGGUUGGACACCAAGCCUUUGUAAAGCUCCUUCGACGAGUCGAGUAGUUUGGGAAUGCUGCUCUAAAUGGGAGGUACAUUUCUUCUAAAGCUAAAUAUUGGCCAGAGACCGAUAGCGCACAAGUAGAGUGAUCGAAAGAUGAAAAGCACUUUGAAAAGAGGGUUAAACAGCACGUGAAAUUGUUAAAAGGGAAGCGCUUGUGACCAGACUUGCGUCCGGUGAAUCACCCAGCUCUCGCGGCUGGGGCACUUCGCCGGCACAGGCCAGCAUCAGCUUGCCGUCGGGGACAAAAGCUUCAGGAACGUAGCUCCUCUCGGGGAGUGUUAUAGCCUGUUGUAUAAUACCCUUCGGCGGGCUGAGGUACGCGCUCCGCAAGGAUGCUGGCGUAAUGGUCAUCAGCGACCCGUCUUGAAACACGGACCAAGGAGUCAACCUUAUGUGCGAGUGUUUGGGUGUUAAACCCCUACGCGUAAUGAAAGUGAACGCAGGUGAGAGCUUCGGCGCAUCAUCGACCGAUCCUGAUGUUCUCGGAUGGAUUUGAGUAAGAGCAUAUAGGGUUGGACCCGAAAGAAGGUGAACUAUGCGUGUGUAGGGUGAAGCCAGAGGAAACUCUGGUGGAGGCUCGCAGCGGUUCUGACGUGCAAAUCGAUCGUCAAACAUGCGCAUGGGGGCGAAAG
rnacentral:rRNA from 1 species